CAAAGCACUUUAUAUUUUUUUGGCAAUCACCGUGUGAGAAAAAAAACGUGAAAUCAGAAUCUCUCUUUAGCUGUCCGAAUCCGACAGAUAAUAGAGAGACAGUUGUAAGAAAGAAACAGAAGGCGCGAAAAAGAGAGAAGAACGAUCAAAGGACAUGGAUCAUGAUUCAUGAUCCUUCAAACGCGAAAUCCAACCAAUGCCCGCCUCUAACCAACCCAUCUCCGACGCCGUUUCGAGGUGCCUACCACCGGCGACCACACUCCGAGGUCCAUUUCCGUCUCCCCGAAGAUCUAUUCUAGAUCUCUCCGAACCGUUCAGAGGAUUCGACGAACUUGAAUCCGAGGAUGACCUCUUCUGCUCUUACAUGGACGUCGAGAAACUCGGAUCCGUAUCCGGUAACAACCCAAGCGAGCUAAAAGGAUAAUUGCUAAUAGACAAUCUGCAGCUCGUUCAAAAGAGAAAAAGGCUCUCGGUAUAUAAUGGAGCUCGAGUGGAAAGUUCAGACACUGCAAACUGAAGCUACUACCCUCUCAACAUAAACUCUCCUUGUUCCAGAGAGAGACACAACUGGUUUGUCAUCUGAGAAUACAGAGCUCAAACUUCGUUUACAAGUCAUGGAACAACAAGCCAAGUUGCGAGAUGCCCUUAACGACCAACUGAAAAAGGAAGUCGAGAGCCUGAAUUUCGCAACGGGAGAAGUCUCUCACACGCUGAUGCAUAUAACCUCGGAAUGCCACACAUGCAAUACUCUCAACAACAAUCACUCUUUCAACAGUAUCAUCAUCAGCAGCAACAAAGUAGUGAUGCUCAAAACCUGCAACAAAUGACACAUCACUGAUGAGUCAUCAGUUUCAUCUCUUCCAGCCGAACAACAAUAACCACUACAAGAAAAUAGUUAUAUAUUGCAACUAAAAAAUUGUUACGUGCAUUCUCAUUAAUAAUUUGCUAUGAUUAUGAUAGUUUUAUUAUUGACGUUAAUUAUUAGGCAAUAAUAAUAAUUAUAGUUUUAUUA